AAGUCAAGGGGUAGCAAUACACCGGCGUACGGGUGCGUAACGCGUAUGGAACCUGCCCUUAUCUGGGGGAUAACUCGGGGAAACUCGAGCUAAUACCGCAUAAGAUAGUAGAAUGGCAUCAUUCAGCUAUUAAAGAUUUAUCGGAUAAGGAUGGCCAUGCGUAAGAUUAGAUAGUUGGCGAGGUAACGGCUCACCAAGUCUACGAUCUUUAGGGGCUCUGAGAGGAGAAUCCCCCACACUGGCACUGAGAUACGGGCCAGACUCCUACGGGAGGCAGCAGUAGGGAAUAUUGGGCAAUGGGCGGAAGCCUGACCCAGCCACGCCGCGUGCAGGAAGACGGCCCUCUGGGUUGUAAACUGCUUUUAACUGGGAAGAAAGUAGUCCUUGCGAGGAAAGUUGACGGUACCAGUUGAAUAAGCCACGGCUAACUACGUGCCAGCAGCCGCGGUAAUACGUAGGUGGCGAGCGUUAUCCGGAUUUAUUGGGUUUAAAGGGAGCGUAGGCGGCUGAUUAAGUCAGCGGUGAAAGGUAGCAGCUUAACUGUUUUACAUGCCGUUGAUACUGGUUAGCUUGAGUUGACAGAAGGCAGAUAGAAUUCCUGAUGUAGCGGUGAAAUGCUUAGAUAUCAGGAGGAAUACCGAUUGCGAAGGCAGUCUGCUGCAGUCACACUGACGCUGAGGCUCGAAGGUGCGGGGAUCAA
rnacentral:rRNA from 1 species